rnacentral:rRNA from 1 species
UAGUAGUCAUACGCUCGUCUCAAAGAUUAAGCCAUGCAUGUGUAAGUAUAAAUAGUUAACUUUGAAACUGCGAAUGGCUCAUUAUAUCAGUUAUAGUUUAUUUGAUGAAGAAUACUAAUUGGAUAACCGUAGUAAUUCUAGAGCUAUUACAUGUAUAAAGUCUUGUAGACUGCAUUUAUUAGAAUGAAAACCAUAGGUUCCGGCCUAUUCGUGAGUAAUAAUAACUAAUCAUAUCGUAUGCUUAUGUAACGAUGUGUCUUUCAAGUUUCUGCCCUAUCAGCUUUCGAUGGUAGUGUAUUGGACUACCAUGGCAGUAACGGGUAACGAAGAA